rnacentral:rRNA from 1 species
GGAUGAACGCUGGCGGCGUGCCUAAUCCAUGCAAGUCGAGCGAACGGACGAGAAGCUUGCUUCUCUGAUGUUAGCGGCGGACGGGUGAGUAACACGUGGAUAACCUACCUAUAAGACUGGGAUAACUUCGGGAAACCGUAGCUAAUACCGGAUAAUAUUUUGAACCGCAUGGUUCAAAAGUGAAAGACGGUCUUGCUGUCACUUAUAGAUGGAUCCGCGCUGCAUUAGCUAGUUGGUAAGGUAACGGCUUACCAAGGCAACGAUGCAUAGCCGACCUGAGAGGGGGGUAGGCCACACUGGAACUGAGACACGGGCCAGACUCCGACGGGAGGAAGCAGUAGGGAAUCUUCCGCAAUGGGCGAAAGCCUGACGGAGCAACGCCGCGUGAGUGAUGAAGGUAUUCGGAUCGUAAAACUCUGUUAUUAGGGAAGAACAUAUGUGUAAGUAACUGUGCACAUCUUGACGGUACCUAAUCAGAAAGCCACGGCUAACUACGUG